rnacentral:rRNA from 1 species
CUUGUUUAUUUUGUUUUUGUAUACCGGGCGCACGGGAUGUGUAGCAACGUAAGGCAACGUACCUAUAACUGGGGCGUAGCUCAGAGAAGUCAUGAAUUAAUUCCCCAUAAGACUGUAGAACCGCAUGGUUCAGCAGUUAAAGUUCCGGCGGUUAUAGAUGGGCAUGCGUUGUAUUAGCUAGUUGGUGAGGUAACGGCUCACCAAGGCUACGAUACAUAGGGGUUCUGAGAGGAUGAUCCCCCACACUGGUACUGAGACACGGACCAGACUCCUACGGGAGGCAGCAGUAGGGAAUAUUGGUCAAUGGACGCAAGUCUGAACCAGCCAUGCCGCGUGCAGGAAGACGGCCCUCUGGGUUGUAAACUGCUUUUAUAUAGGAAGAAACCCCUGAAUGCGUUCGGGGCUGACGGUACUAUAUGAAUAAGGAUCGGCUAACUUCGUGCCAGCAGCCGCGGUAAGACGAAGGAUCCAAGCGUUGUCCGGAUUUACUGGGUUUAAAGGGUGCGUAGGCGGAUAUUUAAGUCAGUGGUGAAAUCCCAUAGCUCAACUAUGGAACUGCCAUUGAAACUGGAUAUCUUGAAUACGGUUGAGGUAGAUGGAAUAUAACAUGUAGCGGUGAAAUGCUUAGAUAUGUUAUAGAACACCGAUUGCGAAGGCAGUCUACUAAGCCGUGAUUGACGCUGAGGCACGAAAGCGUGGGGAGCGAACAGGAUUAGAUACCCUGGUAGUCCACGCCCUAAACGGUUGAUUACUUCUGCCUUGUUU